CGCGCAGGCGGGUUUGUCAGUCAGGGGUGAAACUCCUACAGCUUAACUGUAGAACUGCCUUUGAUACUGCAAACCUUGAGUUCGGAAGAGAGAGGCGGAAUUCCAGGUGUAGUGGUGAAAAUACGUAGAUAUCUGGAAGAACACCAGAGGCGAAGGCGGUCUCUUGGUCCGUAACUGACGCUGAGGCGCGAAAGCGUGGGGAGCGAAACA
rnacentral:rRNA from 1 species